AUGUACCCUUCUCUAAGGAAUAGCCUCUGGAAACGGAGAGUAAUACCUUAUACGCCCUUCGGGGGAAAGAUUUAUCGGAGAGGGAUCAGCCCGCGUUAGAUUAGAUAGUUGGUGGGGUAACGGCCUACCAAGUCUACGAUCUAUAGCUGGUUUUAGAGGAUGAUCAGCAACACUGGGACUGAGACACGGCCCAGACUCCUACGGGAGGCAGCAGUGGGGAAUCUUGGACAAUGGGCGCAAGCCUGAUCCAGCCAUGCCGCGUGAGUGAUGAAGGCCUUAGGGUCGUAAAGCUCUUUCGCCAGGGAUGAUAAUGACAGUACCUGGUAAAGAAACCCCGGCUAACUCCGUGCCAGCAGCCGCGGUAAUACGGAGGGGGUUAGCGUUGUUCGGAAUUACUGGGCGUAAAGCGCGCGUAGGCGGGUUGUUAAGUUAGAGGUGAAAUCCCGGGGCUCAACCCCGGAACUGCCUUUAAUACUGGCAACCUAGAGUUCGAGAGAGGUGAGUGGAAUUCCGAGUGUAGAGGUGAAAUUCGUAGAUAUUCGGAGGAACA
rnacentral:rRNA from 1 species